AAAUUGCGUUAAGGAUAGUAGCGACAUCCUUUUUGGCACUUUGAGCGCGUCGAAUGGAGACAUUGAGCGUGUCGAAAUGUGCCAAAAAGAUACAGCGAAUAGCCUGUUAAAAC
rnacentral:sRNA from 1 species